rfam:Pteropus alecto contig34633, whole genome shotgun sequence.
GUCUACGGCCAUGCCACCCUGAACAAGCCCGAUGUCUGAUCCUGGAAGCUAAGCAGGGUCGGGCCUGGUUAGCACUUGGAUGGGAGACCACCUAGGAAGACCAGGUGCGGUAGGCA